rnacentral:rRNA from 1 species
GACGAACCGUGCGAACGUUAUUCGGAAUCACUGGGCUUAAAGAGCGCGCAGGCGGUCGUUCAAGUCGCGUGUGAAAGCCCCCGGCUCAACUGGGGAGGGUCACGCGAUACUGAUCGACUGGAAGGCAGGAGAGGGUAGUGGAAUUCCCGGUGUAGUGGUGAAAUGCGUAGAUAUCGGGAGGAACACCAGUGGCGAAGGCGACUACCUGGCCUGUUCUUGACGCUGAGGCGCGAAAGCUAGGGGAGCAAACGGG